GGGGUGGGAGCCGCGCAGCUGGACGAGGAGGAGGAGCAGGAGGAGGAGGAGGAGGGCGGCGGUGCCCGUGCGGCCGCCCCCGUCCCGCCCUCCGCAGCCGCCGGGCACCGGGCACCGGGCAGGCGGCGCGCAUGGAGGCGGCGGCGGCCCCGGCCCCGGGCGGCGGCCCCGGCACCCUGCUGCUCUGCCUGGCCCUGGCCUCCGGCUUGGCACUCUUCAGCUGCGUGGGCGCCGACACCAACACCACGGCGGGCACCGAGGGGCUCAGCUGCGGCACGGCCAGGGCGUGCACAGGGAACGGCACGCAGCCGCGGCGGCAGAGCCACUUCUCCCGCUGCCCGGAGGAGUUCCAGCACUACUGCGUCAAGGGCAGGUGCCGCUUCCUCGUGGCCGAGCAGGCGCCGGCUUGUGUGUGCGAGCGGGGCUACACCGGGGCUCGCUGCGAGAGGGUGGAUCUGUUCUACCUGCGAGGGGACCAGGGCCAGAUCGUCAUCAUCUCCCUGAUCGUCGCCAUCGCCGCCCUCAUCAUCCUCGUCGUCGGCAUCUGCCUCUGCAGCCACCACUGUCGGAGGCAGCGUAGGAAGAGGAAGGCAGAAGAGAUGGAAACGCUGAACACGGACGGACCUUCCAGAAGUGAAGACGUGCGGGAAACGGGCAUCGCGUGAAGGAGCUCCCGGUACCUGCGGGCGGGUCCCGGACGGCAGCAGCGGCUGGCUCCACGGGCUAAAGCGGGCAGCGGCUUCAAUAAAGGGGUGACGGAAAGGUGUCCCCGUGUCGCCGGUGUCCUUGGGGCGGGGGCUGCGCGGCCGCCAGACGGGGACACUGCCCUGGAGGGGCGGUCCCGAUGCCCAUCCCGGUCUCGGUCCAGGUCCAAGGGCUCUGCCGGGCUCGGGUCCCGUUCCGGGCAGCUCUGCUGGAGCUGCUCCCGUUGCCCCCGAGCCUCCCCGCAGGGACCGAGCCCAGCUCGGCGCCCUGCCCGUUCCCCACCCCGGCGGGAGAGGGGAGGGACCGGCUGAGGGAAACCGGGCAAAACGGGUGGAAAACAGGUGAGAACCGGGGCAGAACGGGGCGAGCCCGGGCCGCUGGCUCCCGUGGCCCCGCGCUGCGGGCUCCGGUGCCCGGAGCUGCGCUCCGGACCGUGCCCGCCCGGCACGGGGAUGGUUUGCUCCCCGCUCGGUGCGGGACACGCCGGGGUCCCCCGUGUCCCUGGCAGGGGGUUUAGGCGCUGACCCUCUGCGGGGACAGCAUCGGCACCCCGCGAUGGGGCCGGGUGUCCCCGGUGUCACCCCGCGGUACCGCGGGAGGCGGUGGAGCCGCGGCAGCUCCCAAUUCCCGGCACGGGCCCGGCUCCCGCUCCAGCCGGGGCACGGUGACCGCUCCCGGGGCUCUGUAGCCCCCCGAGAUUGCCAGCGGCUGGAGCUGGAGUCUCCCGGGAGGGCCGCUGACCCUCCCGCCCCGGGCUCGGUUCUCCCGGCACGGCACGGCACGGGUUGCUCUGCCCGAGCAGGACAGACCGUCCAGCCUGGCUCGGCUCGGCUCGGCCACAGACGGCAUCCCCUGCAGCCGCUCCAGCCGCGCCACGGUGACAGCAGAGGCAGCCCAGGGAUCGGCAGGGGCUCCUGCAGCCCCGCGGUGCUUCCAGCUGCAUUUGGGGCCGGUGCCUGUCCCUCGGGAGGUGCUGGUGCCCAGGCCAUGCCAGGUGCCCGUGGAAGGCUCAUCCCCGUGCCCAGGCCAUGCCGGGUGCCCGUGGAAGGCUCAUCCCCGUGCCCAGGCCAUGCCAGGUGCCCGUGGAAGGCUCAUCCCCGUGCCCAGGCAAGGAGCACGGCCCCGAGGUGCCAAGGGACAUUUUUUUGGGCACCUACUGCAGCAGGGGGAGGUGGAUUCCCGGUUGCAGGCAGCUGCUGGAAGCCCUGGUGGGAGCUGAGCAGCAGCACCUGUGAGCUGAUCCCCCCUCUAUAAAAGGCUGGUUUCAGCCCCAGGCUUUGCUGGGCCUGCCUGGUGGAGUGAAGCCAAGAGGAAAAAAAUGCUUGCUGCUGCUUUGGGAAUGUGCUGCACGCUGUCUGGGAGACAAAUAAAAUGAAAAGGAGGUAUGA